UGCCAGUGGCAGAGUUAUGCGUAAGACUUAAGAUCUUAUUAAGGAUUUUUUCCCUGGUGA
rnacentral:tRNA from 1 species